GUGCUUGGUUUUGCAGCACAUAUACUAAAAUUUGAAAGACACAGAGAAGGUUAGCAUGGUCCCUUUCAAGGAUGACACGCAAAUUCGUGAAGCAUUCCAUAUUUUU
ensembl:snRNA U6 U6 spliceosomal RNA